rnacentral:rRNA from 1 species
GACGAACGCUGGCGGCGUGCUUAACACAUGCAAGUCGAACGGAAAGGCCCUGCUUGCAGGGUGCUCGAGUGGCGAACGGGUGAGUAACACGUGGGUGAUCUGCCCCUUACUUUGGGAUAAGCCUGGGAAACUGGGUCUAAUACUGGAUAGGACCAUGCUGUAGGUGGUGUGGUGGAAAGAUUUUUUCGGUAAGGGAUGAGCUCGCGGCCUAUCAGCUUGUUGGUGGGGUAAUGGCCUACCAAGGCGUCGACGGGUAGCCGGCCUGAGAGGGUGGACGGCCACAUUGGGACUGAGAUACGGCCCAGACUCCUACGGGAGGCAGCAGUGGGGAAUAUUGCACAAUGGGCGCAAGCCUGAUGCAGCGACGCCGCGUGGGGGAUGACGGCCUUCGGGUUGUAAACUCCUUUCAGCCAUGACGAAGCCUCUUUUGGGGUGACGGUAGUGGUAGAAGAAGCGCCGGCUAACUACGUGCCAGCAGCCGCGGUAAUACGUAGGGUGCGAGCGUUGUCCGGAAUUACUGGGCGUAAAGAGCUCGUAGGUGGUCUGUCGCGUCAUUUGUGAAAGCCCGGGGCUUAACUCCGGGUUGGCAGGUGAUACGGGCAUGGCUGGAGUACUGUAGGGGAGACUGGAAUUCCUGGUGUAGCGGUGAAAUGCGCAGAUAUCAGGAGGAACACCGGUGGCGAAGGCGGGUCUCUGGGCAGUAACUGACGCUGAGGAGCGAAAGCAUGGGUAGCGAACAGG